rnacentral:rRNA from 1 species
GAUGAACGCUGGCGGCGUGCCUAAUACAUGCAAGUCGAGCGAACGGACGAGAAGCUUGCUUCUCUGAUGUUAGCGGCGGACGGGUGAGUAACACGUGGAUAACCUACCUAUAAGACUGGGAUAACUUCGGGAAACCGUAGCUAAUACCGGAUAAUAUUUUGAACCGCAUGGUUCAAAAGUGAAAGGCGGUCUUGCUGUCACUUAUAGAUGGAUCCGCGCUGCAUUAGCUAGUUGGUAAGGUAACGGCUUACCAAGGCAACGAUGCAUAGCCGACCUGAGAGGGUGAUCGGCCACACUGGAACUGAGACACGGUCCAGACUCCUACGGGAGGCAGCAGUAGGGAAUCUUCCGCAAUGGGCGAAAGCCUGACGGAGCAACGCCGCGUGAGUGAUGAAGGUCUUCGGAUCGUAAAGCUCUGUUAUUAGGGAAGAACAUAUGUGUAAGUAACUGUGCACAUCUUGACGGUACCUAAUCAGAAAGCCACGGCUAACUACGUG